rnacentral:rRNA from 1 species
AGCGGCGAACGGGUGAGUAACGCGUAGGAAUCUACCUAGUAGAAGGGGAUAGCCCGAGGAAACUCGGAUUAAUACCGUAUACGUCCUUAGGGAGAAAGAGGGCUUAGCUUUGAUGCUCUCGCUAUUAGAUGAGCCUGCGUAAGAUUAGCUUGUUGGUGAGGUAAAGGCUCACCAAGGCGACGAUCUUUAGCUGGUCUGAGAGGACGAUCAGCCACAUUGGGACUGAGACACGGCCCAGACUCCUACGGGAGGCAGCAGUGGGGAAUAUUGGACAAUGGGCGCAAGCCUGAUCCAGCCAUACCGCGUGUGUGAAGAAGGCCUUCGGGUUGUAAAGCACUUUAAGUAAGGAGGAAAAGAGUAUUGUUAAUACCAAUACUCCGUGACAUUACUUACAGAAUAAGGACCGGCUAAAUCCGUGCCAGCAGCCGCGGUAAUACGGAAGGUCCAAGCGAUAAUCGGAAUUACUGGGCGUAAAGCGCGCGU